CCACCUCUCCGGGCACAGUGGAACGGGAACCUCAGGAUCUGUUUUGGUCUUUUUUUCUUUUGUUUUGUGGUGUUUGUUUUGUUGUGUUAUUUUAUUUUUGAAGUAGGGUCUUACAUAGCUCAGGCCGGUUUCCAACUGGCUGUGUAAGAAAGAAUGACCUAAAAACUUUUUUUUAUUAUUACAGCAAUGUUUUUAGUCUCAGUGUUCCGGAGGCAGAGACAGGCCAAUCUCUGAUCCGUGAGUUUCUGAGCUUGUGUGGAAAUCAAGACGUGCGGUUUCUCUUUCACUAUGUGGAUCCUGGGGAUUGAAUUUACCCAAGUGCCAAUUUACCCUGAAUUCCUAAUCCUCCUGCACACCCCCGCAACUCCUGAGAUUAUAUUAUAGGUCUGCACCAUUACACCUGGUCUUUUAGAGCCUCUUAAAAAGAGUGGGAAAAUGAGAGAGAUGGCUCUGUGGGUAAAGGUGUUUGCCACUCUGCCAACAACUAUCCUCGCAACCUGAGUUGUGGAAAGACAGAAUGAAGUCCACAGAGUUGCCCUAUAACUUCCACACUGGUACAGAUGGCAUAUCCACCCAUGUACAUAGAACACAUAAUAAUUUGAAUUUUAAGAAAAGACAAUUGGAGAUGUCUCGGUGAUAAAGUGCUUGCCUAGUAUACCCUGGAUUUAGUCUUCAGCACUACAAAAACAAAAACAAAAAAGACAUACCUUCACAAGGCCAUUCUUGUCCAACCACUUAUUCUGUUUCUACCUUUGGGGUUUUGCCUCCCAUAGUCCUCUCUGACUGCAGUGUCUAUGCUUUCCCCUUACUUCACUUGACUAUGUCAGAACGUAAUGAUUACAUAAUAAAUAUUUGUUUGGCCUAGCUAUGAUUCCAGUACUUGGGAGGCUAAAGCAAGACUCAAGGAUUACCACUAGAAAGAACCUUUCUCAAAGGGGGUUGGUGGGGUGGUCUUUAUUUAUUUUACUUGAAGUAGUAAUAAAACAGUCUAUUGGCUCCAAACAGUUUUUUAUAAAAGAAAAGAAACUGCCCUGGAGAGGCAAAGGAGUCUUUAAGUUUGAGGAGAGCCCAGUCUACAGAGUGAAUUCCAGGAUAGCCAGAGCUACACAGAGAAAUUUUUUAAUGGCUAAUGGGAUGACACAGUGGAUAAAGGCUCUUGCCCAACCUAUAUGACCUGACUUCAAUCCCCAGUACCCACAUGGAGGAAAGACAAAACUGAUUCCAAAAGAUUGUCUUCUGGCAUUUAUACACGAAUGUACACACACACAUAAAUAGAUUUUAAAGGAAUUGAAAGAACUGUGGUUUGUGCCUGUAAUCACAGCACCCAAGAGAUUGAGGAAGGAAGAUGGCUGUAAGUUUAUGGCCAGCCUGGGUCACAUAAUACAGGCUACAUGGUAAGAUAAAUUUAGAUUAAGUAAGUAAAUCAAUAAACAAGAAAAAAUAUUGGGACAGGAUCUUGAAUUCAGAAAGCUUUAAGAAGUACUGUGUCCUGGAACCCAAUGGCUGUCUUUCUCUAUGUGUUGUCAAGGCAUUGAUGACGCUCUUAUCUGAACCUGACCAUAAAUUACAUCACCACCUUAUAGUUUGUCCCUGAAUUUGAGACUCAGUAUAUUCAGAUCUCUGUUUGGCUUCUGAUAGGUAUAGCAAAGUUACAUGGCCACAUAUCUAAAACUGCUCUCCUGAUACCUCUCCAAACUUGCUGAUCCCACAGCAGGGGCCAUCGCCUUAGUUAGAAACUCUAAUCCAAAACCCUGGAGUUGGGGCUGGAGAGGUGGCUCAUCAGUUAAGAGCAUUUGUUGCUCUUACAAAGACCUACUUUUGGGGCCCAGCACCCACAUGAUAGCUCACAAAAAUCCAUAACUUCAGUUCUAAGGGAUCUGAUGCAUUCUUGUUAUCUCAACAGGCAUCAGACACACGUGGUACAGACACAUAUAUACAUAGAUGCAGAAAAACAUUCAUACAUAUAAAAUGUAUUUUUUAAAUCUUAGGAUUAUCUUUGAUUAUUCUUUCUCACAUUUUUCACUUGAUUUCUUUGAAAUAUAACGAGAACUCACCCUUUUUACUUCUCCGCUCAGUCCAGUCAGCUGUCACCAUCUCUUUGCCUAAGUUUCACAGAAGACUCCUAACCUCUCUCUCCCGCCCUCGCCUUACUCAUUAUAGCCUUAGUUCAGCACCCUGAGUGAUCCUGUAAAACUUAAGUCAGAUACUGUCACCAGCUCUGCCCAAAACCUCCAGGACCUGUCAGAGCAGACGCCAAGGUCCUUAUAAGGGCCUCCAAGAGCUCUCUUGCCCCCACACACUUCUCUGACACAGUGGCCUUCUUACUGUUCCAAGAUAGGCUCUCGCCUGAGGGCCUUUCCUUCUGCCUGGAAUGCUUUCCUCUCCAGACCAGCCUGACUCACUCCUUCUCUGCCAGGUGCUCAAGUUCAAGUGAGACCUCUCAACUACUGUGUCUAAAAACUAUCAUCUUGCAUCAUAUAAAAUUAUAACUGAAUACAUGUUUGUAAUUGAAUAUAUGAUAUAUAAAGCCAUAUAUAUGAUGACAUAUGUGGUUCCCUGCUUUUUUCUGACUUCCUUUCACUAAAUUUUAAGGCACGUGAGGACUAGAAUUGUUGUUUAAUAUGUGCAAUGUUACGUCUCUGGCGCCUAGAUUAGUACUUGGAACACCGCAGCCCUCGGUAAAUACUUCCUGAGUGGAAUGUACAAAAGAUGGCGAUGGGACGACUGUACUCUAUGCCACGGGAAGGUGGCUAGAAAUAGGAAGUGAAAUACAACUGAAAACGCUAUCCCAGCACCUAGGAAGCCAAGGCAAACAUUCCUCUAGUUUCAAGGACAGUCUCAGCUACAGAGUAAAAACCCUGCCCCCAAAAAUACAAAAAAGGGGGGUUGAAGAGGUGGCUUGGAGAUUAAGAAGACUAGCUGCUCUUACAAAGAAUGCAGGUUUGAUUCCUAACACCCACACGGUGGCUCACAGCCAUCUGUAACUCCACUCCCAGAGGAGCCAGCACCUUCCAGACACCAGGCACACACGAUACAGACAGACAGACAGACAGACAUGCAGGCAAAACCCUCAGGCAACUAAAAUAAAAUAACUUUUAAAACCACAAACACAGCAUCAAAUGUAUUUAGCACAAAGAGGCAUUUAGCAAAUAAUAUUUAACUCCAAGAUCAUGAAGGGCAUGAUCAUAUUUUGGCUUUUAAAUUUUCACUUUGGAAAUUGGGCAAGAUGGUACAUGUUUAACCUCAACACUUAGGAGGCAACGGCAGGUGGAUCUCUGUAAGUUCAAGGCUAGCCUGAUCUACAUAGUUCCAAAACAGCCGGAGCUAUGGAGAGAGACAUAAAAAAAAAACAAAACAAACUAAAAUUUUUAAAAAAGAAAAGAUAGGGGCUGGAGAGAUGGCUCAGUGGUUAAGAGCACUGACUGCUCUUCCAGAGGUCCUGAGUUCAAUUCCCAGCAACCACAGGGUUGCUCACAACCAUCUGUAAUGGGAUCAGAUGCCCUCUUCUGGUGUAUCUGAAGACAGCUACAGUGAACUUAUAUAUAAUAAAUGAAUAAAAAAAAAAGAAAGAAAAUAAAGAAAAGAAAAGAUAGGCAGUGCACAUAAUGUCUUCUUUAUGCUCAGUGGCGUUCACCUACUUUUUAAUGUUCUUUUCUCUCUCAUAACAUCUAAGACUUCAGAACACAUCUCUCUUCUGUUCAAUAUCCUCUGUGCUUCGUUCCAAUCUCCUGUAGGCUUAGAUUUUUCAAAACCUAAUAACUUUAAUAGGGGUUCUUAAAUGGUUCAACUUCCUUUCUAGCCUACUGACCAAAAGUAAGGGCAAAGAUGGUUGAUACCACAAGGGGGAUGUGGACCUGUUCAGAAGUAGUUCUUUGGAACAAUUCCAGCAUUCAUUGUCAGGAUUAUCAGCAGUCCAGUCCAAAACAUCAAACACAAAUCAGUAGCAGUGGCUCGGUCCAGAAGAAACCGCAAGGCACCACCAAAUUAGCAUGAGUCUGCAGAUGCCAUAACAAGCCUCUGGAAUACAAAGAAGCCCUUUGGUGCAUUUCUCACUACGAAGUCACCACAAGCAAAGAUCAGUGAAGAUCAGCAAAGCAAUCCAAGGUGCACCGAUGCAAGACCACCGUUCACCAUCUGUUGGGUUCUACUUAAAUUCUUUCCAAACAUCACAUGGCCUCUGAAGUGUCUGCUUCAGCAAAACAUCCUCUCAUAAACAGCACAUGACACAACUGAGUCUCCAAAGAAACCAGAAAUGUCUACUGCACUCUCCCUUUGAAUGAAGUCUACACAGUUGUCCUGGCUAUAGACUCUCUUUGACUUUUCCUUUCCAUCUUCCCACUUGAGCCCACAUCAAGUUCCUGAUAACCCUAUACAUUAUGAGACAUGGUCUUGCCCCACAGCCUCUGCAUUCCUAGUUCCUUCCCUUUGGAAUGGUCUUUCUCUGGGAACACCUUUGUUCACUCCAUAACUUAUUCCCAGACUACUCAGUGUAAAACAUGAAUAGCAUCCUCUUCCCCUUCCCCUGAUGGGGUCUCUCCGGGUAUCCCUGGCAGACCUGGAACUUGAUGCAGAAACCCACCAGUCACUGCCUCUUGAGUGCUGAGAGUGAUGGGCAUCACCAUGCCCUGCUCCCUUUGCCUAGACUUGCUAUGCUACUGUACUGUCUAGCACCCAUCACAUUAUUUAUUUAUAGUUUGUGUUCUGUUUACUGUUGUAACUCCAGAACCUACAGUAGUUCUUCACAAGUACCAUGUACCCAACAGAAUGAGCAGAUGAUCACAAGUCUGAAAGAUAACAGCAAACUAUUACAGUGUUUACAUGUGAGGAGGAGAGCAGGAAGGACUGCUGUGGUUUAAAGUACAGGGAGUAUUUUUUUUUUUUUUUGGUUCUUUUUUUUCGGAGCUGGGGACCAAACCCAGGGCCUUGUGCUUCCUAGGCAAGCGCUCUACCACUGAGCUAAAUCCCCAACCCGUACAGGGAGUAUUUUAAUGUGUGGAUGAAAAGAAGUGGGCAGAGAACAGAGCUGGAUGUGCGAUCCUUGGAAAGAAGUCAAGGAUGAGUCCCAGGUUUAAGCUCGAGCAACUAAAGCAACACCAGUGCCAUUUACCCACAAGAGGAGUUUUGGACGUAAAGCGGUAAGAUUGGGGUAGAGCAAUGCACAUAGUUAUUCUGAUUCAUGCAAAUGUAAGAGGAAAUAACCCAUAGGCAUGGGAAUGUCUAAAUGUGAGCUUGGAAAGGCUCAAGGGGGAAGGUAGAUAGACAGGUGAGCCGUGUGCAGAAGAAGAUGAAGUGACUGACACAGAAGGAAAAGGAUCCAAACCGGAACCUAAGUUCCCUCUUCCUUUCUUCCCUAGCGUGUGCCUACUCCCUCCCCACGUCAAGUUCUUUGCUUUUUCUGGAUUUGCUCCUAGGUGGCCAGGACUAUACCCUUACACACUGUGCCAUCUGACCUGACCUCUCUUAAUUUUAGACAGGGUCUUUCUCUUUCUUUUGUUUGUUUAUUUGUUUUUGUUGUUUGUUUUAUUUUCGGAAACAGGGUUCUUCUGUGUAGUCCGGGCUGUCCUGGAACUUGCUCUGUAAACCGGGCUGACCUCGAACUCCAACCGCCUACCUCUGCCACCCAAACGCUGGGAUUAAAGGGCGCUUCACCACCAUUUGGCUGUCUUUGGAGCUUUCUAAGAUGGAGGAUAGAUGGCUCUCUCCUGGAAAGGAAUGUUCAUAAUAGCUCUCUGCCGGCGAGCAGUGUUCCUAGUCCUCUUCUUACUUUUUACUGUUUUCUUCUAGACCUUGUCUCACUACGUUGUUCUGCAAGCUCUGCCUUGAGUUUACUCAGGAACCAGGCAGGUUAUGUAAGCCUCCUGCCUCAGUCCUCUGAGGAGUUGGGGUUACAGGCUCAUACUCCAGGCCUGACUGAAGUCAAAACUUAAGGGUUCUUUAAAAAGUCAGUUGUGUUGGUUGGUGUUUUGUUGGGACAAACACCUGAAGGAGUCAUUUCUUAAAGUUGAUACAGGUGAAAGGCUAAGGCAGACUCGUGAAGGAAUGUUUCCCUGAAGCACACACAGGAGAGGGGAUGUUCUGCUAAAGCAGUCACAUGAAAGAACGCAUGAUGAAGGAUUCUUUGCUAACAGCACACACGUGUUGAUCUGUCUUACAUUGCACAGUUGAGCUACGUUUGUUGAGACUCCAACAAAUGGUGAUGUCAAAUCUUUUUUGCCGCUUCUGUAGACUCAGACUGAUAGAAAAAGUGAUGUCAGCUGAGGCAGACACACAUGUUGAGGCCGGACCCAUGAAAGACACAUGAUGUUUAAAGGGAAUUUAAAAGGGACCAUGACAAAGACUAAAGUUGGCUUACUUAUAGAGCUAGCUACACAGUGCUGUUGGUCUCACAUCCUCGCUGAUCUUUCCUUCACUGAGAAAGACACAGCCAAGAACUUUUCUUGACAUUCCUGCUGGUCCCUCCUGCUGACUCGUGCCUAGGCUGAGGUCUGGCUGUCUCUGUUAGUGCCACGGAUGCUGAUUCAUGUGUGUUAUCCUGACUCUACCAAACUAGACCGCCGAUGUAUCUAUAAAGUGUUUACAAGUAGCCCAAGCUGCCACUGCUGACCUAUUCUGCCUAACUACCAAUUUCCAGACAACACAGCUAAGAUUUACUCCAAAGAACCCUUUCUUUUUUUUUUUUUAAGAUUUUUUUUUUUUUUGGUUCUUUUUUUUCAGAGCUGGGGACCGAACCCAGGGCCUUGCGCUUCCUAGGUAAGCGCUCUACCGCUGAGCUAAAUCCCCAGCCCCUAUUUAUUUUAUGUAUGUGACCACACCGUCUCUGUCUUCAGACACACCAGAAGAGGGCAUCAGAUCUCAUUACAGAUGGCUGUGAGCCACCAUGUGGGUGGUGGGAUUUGAACUCAGGUCUCUGGAAGAGCAGUCAGCGCUCUUAACCACUGAGCCAUAUCUCCAGCCCAAGGAACCCUUUCUAAACAGGUCCACUUCCCCAUAUAUCCUUUCUUUUCUGCUACCUCUAAAAGAUAAUGGGCUUGGACUAGAGAGAUAGCUCAAGCUGUUAAGAACACUGGCUGUUCUUCCAGAAGUCCUGAGUUCAAUUCCCAGCAACCACAUGGUGACUCACAACCAUCUGACAUGGGAUCCAAUGCCUGUCUGAUGUGUCUGAAGACAGUGUACCCAUACAUAAAAUAAAUAAAUCUUUUUUUUUAAGAUUAUGGGUUAAAAAUAGAUUAAAAAAUUUUAAAACCAUCAUUAAAAAUAAAAUUUUAAAAAAUUAAAGUUACACCUAACACUGUAUUUCUAGUCUUUGUAGUUUUAGUACUUCUCUGUAAUUGUCUACUGAUUAAUUUUCCUUUUCUUUUUUAAUGUUUAUUCAGUAGGGGGUGGCAUUUUGUGGCUUGAGUGUAGAGAUCAUAGGACUACUUGGGAAAGUCAGACCUCUCCUUCUACUGUGUAAACCCUGGAGACCAAACUCAGGCCCUUGGGUUUGGUGACAAGUACCCUUACCUGCUGAGCCAUGUCACCAAGCCAAAUUUUCUUCCCAUCCUGUUGUGUAUGUGUAUGUGUGUGUAGGCCAGGGAUCAACAUUAUUGAGUAUCUUUUCUUACUUUUCAUGUUAUAUUUUUUAUAUAUUUUGUUUUUGUUUUUUUAUUCUCGGGGGUGGGGGCAGCCAUGGUACAUGUGUAAAAGUCAGAGGCAACUUUGGGCCAUCAGGUCUCUGUUUAUAUGGUGUGAGUCCUACAGAUCAAACCAGGGCCUUGAGUUGUUGUGAAGCCUUUACCGGCUGAGAUGUCUCCCUAGCCCCUUCCACUUGUUUUCUGAGGCAGGGUCUCAAACUUAACCUGGAGUUUGCUAUUUGAACCGGGUUAGCUAGGCAGCGAGCGCCCAGGAUCCACGGCUGGCCGCAGCCCCGGGGUUGGGCUUACCGAUGCUGCCUUACCUGACUUGUAUGCCAGUGCUGGGGAGCCAAACUCAUGCUUAUGCAGCAAGUGCUUUACCUCCGAGCCGGCUCCCCUCCUGUGCUUUAUUUUCUUCUCCAUGCUGGGGUAUUUCAUUUCACUGUCCUUCCUUAUCUGGUUGUUGGUGGAUUGUUCGCUCUUCAGGUUUCUCCUAUAAUUUAGCACAGUAUCCAGAGCAUCAAAUAUUCACGAAAACAAUUUGCAGGGGCCGGAGAGAGAGCUCAGUGAUUAGGACAGUGGUUGCUUGCCAGGUGGCGGUGGUACACACCUUUGAUCCCAGCACCUAGGAGGCAAAGGCAGGCAGGUCUCAGAGUUCAAACCCAGCCUGAUCUACAAAGGGAGUUCCAGAACAGCCAGGGCUACAUAGUAAAACUAUCUUGAGAAACCAAAAAGAGAAAAAAGAAAAGAAAGAACUGGCUGCUCCUCCAAGGGACCCAGGUUCAAUUCCCAGCACCCACAUAGUAACUUAGUCUAUAAGUCCAGUUUCAGGAGAUCUGAUACCCUUUUCUAGUUUCUAUAGGCACCACGCAUGCUUGUGGCGCAUAAGCAUAUGUGCAGCCAAAACCCACACACACAGUAAUAAUAAUGAAUAAUACACUAUAAAAUAAUGAAAGGGAAAAGUUAAAAGUAUUUACAUGGGUCAGGAGGAAAAGGCAACAAGAUAAAUACAGCUUCAGCGUUGUAUAGCAAGGCACUGUCUCAAAAUUACAUUUUUGCUGUGUGGUAUUAUCUACCUUCAAUCCCAGCACUCAGGCAGGACAAAGAGGCAGGGGGAUUGAUGUGAGUUUAACAUCAUCCUGUCUACUCAGAGCAGAGGCUCCCACCCUUCCAAACGCUGCAACCCUUUAAUGCAGCUCUUCAUGUUUUGCUGACCCCCAAUCGUAAAAUGAUUCUCAUUGCCCCUUCAUAACUGUGAUUUUGCUAGUAUUGUGAAUUGUAAUGUAAAUAUUUGUGUUCUGGGUGUCCUUUGGGGGGUCGCAACCUACAGGUUGAGAACCACUGACCUAGAGAGUUCCAGAAUACCCAGAGAUAUAUAAUAAGACCCUGCCUCAGAAAAAAAAAAGGGGGGUGGGGAUAAAAAAGGAUUGGCUGUGGUAGUCCUGUCAUCCCAGCUAACACAGGAUUGUGAAUUCAAUGCCAACUAACCUAUGAAGAGCAAGCUGGGAAGGAGGGAUGUAGCUUAGUGGUGAGUACUAGCAUACUUCAGCUGCCCAGUACUGCAAAAAAUGAGAUACCGGUGUAGACCGGAUGAGAGGUCAGGGACCUGGGAGGGAAACCAAUCAUUUUAAGCCCAAGACUUGGUUGCUGAUGUCAACUGAUGGCAUCUAGGUUGAAACUCAUGCCUCAUCGUAUCUUACUAUUGAAUAUAGAUCGCACACACAGUUCAAACUGACUUCGGGGGCUCUCUGCUCACUAGCCACUCCAUUUUUGGGGAGUGAUUGUUCCUUACUUAAUAAACAACCUGCCCCGCCCCCGCCCCACCCCAUGCCUAAGGAAGCCGCAUGACUUUUCUCUCUGGCACUGCCGGGAUUUUAACCUAAGCUGUGCUGUUUUUUCUUAAACUCUUAAUAAAAUUGUUCUUGGGGUUUAUAAAAGGAAACAGUAAUAUGGAAAUGUCAAUAAAAAUGAACUAGCAAAGAUCAUCUUACAGGUUCUCUGCACCUUGAGCGCUUCCCUAUUAUUUACCUACAUGGUGCUGGUAAACAGCUUCACAGUUUACAAAGCACUUCUUGGAUGUCAUUGCCUUGAGACACCGGCACGGUAAAGGAAGGCACAGUGGUAAGUAAAAUUUGAGAGUGAUAAAGAGAACCAGCUCUGCAGCUUGUAAUAAAAGUUACGAAAUUCUGAGCUGGGUAUGUCGACUCAGGCCUGCAGUCCAGCACUUGGAGGUGGAGGCAGGAGGAUCAUGAGUUCAGAGCCAGCCUAUCUCAAAAAAAAAAAAAAAAAAAAAAAAAAAAAGUGAUCACAAAAUGAUGAUCACUCCCCAGCCCCAUUAAAUCCCAAGAGAAAGGAUCAAAGGGGCUGAGCCACAGGAGAACCACCAAGAGGUUGGAGAUCUGGAUGAGAGUCACUAACGACAAAAGGUGAAGCCAAACUGUAGGUAGGGGGGCCUAGUAGGCCUAGCUGCCUUUGUUUCCUUUGAGAUGGAGGAAGGAAGGCCCACCCUCUGUUAGCUUAGGUCGCAACGGUAUUUUCCUCAGGUCUGUAGAACUCAGUCAUUCUCAACUAAGUCACCAGUCAGCUUUGUAAAAAUAUACCCAGGUACCACCCCUAGCAGCUCAAAUUCAAAUCUUCAGGAGGGGUCAAGCAGUUUUAAGUCUCUCAGGAUGGCGGUGGAGUCUAAGGCAGAGAAGACUGAGUCUUGAAGGCAGAAGAUGUGUUAUUAGUGUAUUCUUCCUACAAUAGUAAUUGUUCAAUGCUCCGAGUGAUGAAAACUCACCACCCUCAACUAUGUCCUUGUUGUUGGGGAAUGGCCUCAGGUCAGAGGAACUGAGUCAGAGUGUACGGAGCAAUAGCCCUUAGCCAGAAAGCUGUAAAGCAUGGCUUGACCCCUGUGCUCUCCACCUGUACAAAUUAGAUGUCCAGGUGUUGAAAACCCACCCUGCUCCCAGUCAAACCACAAAAAAUGGCUGUAACCUCCUGGUGGCUAGUCAUGGAUGUGUGCGUGUACACACCUGUCCCUCAGCCCCUCUACCUGAGCUCGCUCAUCGCUGUUUCAAUAAAGCUGGCUCAGCCUGAUGAGAUGGCGUGUUUCUCUGCUUCAUUUUUCCUAGGCUUGUUGUACGCCAGUCCUGGUGCUCAGAGCGUCAUAGUUAGAUCCACCUCUUCACUGUGCUCGGACAGUUAGUAUUUUAAAUUCCUCAUUCUGUAAGAUCCAUGCCUGCACCCAAUGAAGUGAGAAGACGGCAUCAGAGCUCCUAGAACUAGGGCCACCAACAUUUGUGAGGUACUGUGUGUGUGCUGAGAGCUGCCUGAACCCCAGUCCUCUAUACGUACUCUCUAGAGAGCAACAAGUAUUCUUAACUUCUGAACCAUCUGCCCAGCCUUGAAAACUCAACCUGACCCCCAUCUCUCUCUCAGCUUCUCCAGGCAGGGUGUCCUGCCUGUCCUGUGCAGCCCUGGUUGUCCUGGCCUCAAAUUCACAGACUACCUCCUGGGUGAUGGGAAUAAAGGCAUGCACCACCACUGUUUUAAUUUUUUAUUAUUAUUUUUAACUAGGGGGCACACUAAUUAGUGCAGAUGCUUGAAGAGGUCAAAGACUGUAUCCUCCUGGAGCUGGACUUACAGGGGGUUGUGAGCCACUUGAAUAAGUGCUGGGAACUGAACUCUGCACGAGCAGUAUAUGUUCUUAUCUGCUGAGCCAUCUCUCCAGCCCCAGAACCAAACUGCUAUUUUGACCAAAUAGUCUCUUAGUCUCUGCCAGUGUUGUAAAUUUUUUUUGUCUUUUAAGUAGAGCCUGUUGGGGAUGGAACUCAGUUCAUCAGAUUUAGUGGCAAGCACCUUUACCCGUGGAGCCUUCUCGCCAGCUCAGUGUUGCUUUUUUUUUUUUUCUUUCUUUCCGGAGCUGGGGACUGAACCCAGGGCCUUGUGCUUGCUAGGCAAGCGCUCUACCACUGAGCUAAAUCCCCAACCCUCAGUGUUGCUUUUUAAUAUGUGUUGUGAAGCCACAUUCAGAAUAGUUUUCAUGCCAAGAGUAUACCCUGUGAGUAAUGGAAAUGUGUGUUGCUGUGUAUACACUUUAUCUUUGUGCACAGCUUCCGGAAGUGUGACCAGACCGGGCGGUGGGAUGGAAGACCCAUUACAGAGCUUCACAUGCUGUUCCAGGCCUGUUCUAACAGGAUACCAUUGCUUUAAUGAGAGAGAGAGAGAGAACAUGAAAUCUGUGUGGUGAGGAUCUGGGAGAAAAUAGAAGAAGGUAAAAACUAUGAUCACAAUAAAUUGUUUGAAAAAAAUUUUAAUUAAAAAUUUUAAUUAAAA